rnacentral:rRNA from 1 species
UGAGGAAUUUUCCGCAAUGGGCGAAAGCCUGACGGAGCGACGCCGUGUGUGCGAUGAAGUCCUUCGGGACGUAAAGCACUGUCAGUGGGGAAGAUAUUGACGGUACCCACAGAGGAAGGCCCGGCUAACUACGUGCCAGCAGCCGCGGUAAUACGUAGGGGCCAAGCGUUGUCCGGAAUCAUUGGGCGUAAAGAGCAUGUAGGUGGUUUGGAAAGUCAGAUGUUAAAUAUGCAGGCUCAACCUGCAUCCGCAUCUGAAACUUCCUGACUAGAGAAUGGUAGAGGAAAGCGGAAUUUACGGUGUAGCAGUGAAAUGCGUAGAUAUCGUAAGGAACACCAGUGGCGAAGGCGGCUUUCUGGGCUAUUUCUGACACUGAGAUGCGAAAGCUAGGGGAGCAAACGGG